AAUACCUGUAAUGGAUGUGCAGCAUGCAGCUUUCAGACCCUUGUCAAUGAGUGCAAAGGAGAAUGCUCCAUUGUAGAAAGUUGUCAAAUCUACUGACGUGUAUGGCUAACACACAACAAUUCAUGUUUUUGGAUAAGAAACACAGUUGCUGACUUCAGUUUGGCUCAUCAACAGUUUGCUUAACUGACUCAGGAGUGGCUUCAUUUAUCCCAUAAGGUACCAUAAUGAUUUCAGAAGACUAAUCACCCAAAUCCAAGACUUUCUGAUAAAAAUGAAAAGGCGCAUUGCAUGGUUCCUAAGGAACUGUGCACAUUCUCUACAGCUUCCAUUUCAACCUUCUGGUAGCAACGGUAUUUUAUUCUCUCCUUUUUACGGGAAACUAAAAAGCUAGAUUAAUAUAAUCUACACAGCAAGCUUGUGUUUCCAUUAGAA